rnacentral:rRNA from 1 species
AACGAAUGCUGGCGGCAGGCCUAAUACAUGCAAGUCGAACGAGAAAGUUCUUUCGGGAAUGAGUAGAGUGGCGCACGGGUGAGUAACGCGUGGGAAUGUGCCCUUAGGUAGGGAAUACCAGUUGGAAACGACUGCUAAUACCCUAUGAUGUCUUCGGACCAAAGAUUUAUCGCCUAAGGAUCAGCCCGCGUAGGAUUAGCUAGUUGGUGAGGUAAUGGCUCACCAAGGCAACGAUCUUUAGCUGGUCUGAGAGGAUGAUCAGCCACACUGGAACUGAGACACGGUCCAGACUCCUACGGGAGGCAGCAGUAAGGAAUAUUGGACAAUGGGGGAAACCCUGAUCCAGCCAUGCCGCGUGAGUGAUGAAGGCCUUAGGGUUGUAAAGCUCUUUUAACGGUGAAGAUAAUGACGGUAACCGUAGAAUAAGCCCCGGCUAACUUCGUGCCAGCCGCCGCCGUAA